rnacentral:pre_miRNA from 12 species
GGGCUGCGCCCCGCCAGGGUAAGUGAAAAGCUGGUGGACCGCGGAACAUGUGCUUCGUUCGUGCCAUAUGUCUGCCGACCAUCACCUUUAGAAGCCCCCGCUCGCGGAGGAGCCACC